rnacentral:lncRNA from 1 species
CGCCCCCGCUGGCGGCCGCUCCCGCCCAUUGUCUGCGCUCCGCGCUCCCGGCGCCGCUGCGGGGCCAUUGUGAGGGGCGGGGGGACCCCCGGGGACAGCCGGGGACCCCCCCCGAACACCCAGGGACCCUCCAGGGACCCCCCCCGAACACCCAAAGACCCCCACGGGCAGUCGGGACCCCCUCCCGAACACCCAGGGACCCCCAUCAAACACCCAGGGAUCCCCCCCGAACACCCAGGGACCCCCACGGGCAUGCGGGGACCCCCCGAUCUUCGGGAACCCCCCGAACACUCAGGGACCCGACCCCGACACCCAAAGACCCCCCCUGGAACACCCCGGGACCCCCACGAACACCCACGGACACCACCAAACACUCAGGGACCCCCCCCAAGCACUCAAGGACCCCCCCGAACACUCAGGGACCCCCCCAAAAAUCGGGGACCCCCCCAGACACACAAGGACCCCCCUGGCCAGGGGGGAUUUGGGGUGAGGAUGAGCUUGGGAGGGUUUUUUUGGGGGAGGGGGCGUUUAUUGAGGAGGGGUCCCGGUUUUUUGGGGGGGGGAAAGGUGUCACCCCACUGUGGGUGUCCCCCGCUGCACGUGAGGGUGGGGAGGGCACCCCCAGGGGUCUCGGACCCCCAAAAUUCCCCCCAAAGGGGUCUCGGACCCCCAAAUUGCCCCCAAAGGGGUCUCGGACCCCCAAAAUUGUCCCCCAAAGAAGUCUCAACCCACCCCCCAAAUUGUCCCCGGGCUUGGGGGGUCCUGGGGGGAGCUUGGGGGGUCCUGGGGGGGUUCAGACCGAGCCCCCCGGGUUUGGGGGGUUCUGGGUGGGGUCAGACCGAGCCCCCCGGGUUUGGGGGGUUCUGGGGGGGGUCAGACCGAGCCCCCCGGUGGAGGGACCCCCCGAUCUCCCCGGAGCCCCCCAAAAGCGAGCGGAGCGCGGAGGGGGCGCGGCCGCUGCCCGGAACAGCCGCGUUCUCUCAAUGGGAGGAGGCGGGAACUCGGGGGCCACGCCCCCUUCAGCGCUGACCAAUGGGGUGAGGCGAGGGGAGAGAGCAGCGCUGCCAUUGGUGGG